rnacentral:tRNA from 8 species
AGUGCUGUAGGCAAAUGGUUUAAGCCGCUUGGUUUUCACCCAAGUGAUUUGCGGGUUCAACUCCCGUCAGCACUU